AUUCCAGUACACUGCUUCCGGACACAAUUUUUACAAGUUUUCUCAUACAUAAGGUAUUUACCGCAAAAUUCAAAAAAAGAUUUUCGGUAUAGAAUGAAAAAAAAUGUGUAUGAAAAACUUUCUUCAUCUUUUUCGGUAAGGUGUUUCCAGAAAACUUCUUUCUGCUACCCACCUUUUUUUUAUACACCAUAAUUAAUAAUUAAUACACCAUAAAUUUUUUUAAAUAAUAAUACAUCAUAAAUACACCAUUAAAUAAUACAUCAUAAUUAACACACCAUAAUAAUUAAUAAUUAAUACACUAUAAAUAAUAAUUAAUACUUAAUAAUUAAUAACUAAUACACUAUAUAUAAUUAAGGACUGAGAGAUCAUAUGACCCUCCGGCGGCCGGGAUACAACUCACCUCAUGCUCAUGCUAUAUAGGUCCCUCCUCCUCAUGUAUUUGAUCCUCCCUAUUUUAGUGAUCCUCCUCGGGAUAGAUAUAUGAACCUACUCCUCUAUGUCAUCAUCUUCUAUUAUAAAUCGUCGUCUUCUACGAGUUUCCGGAGCAGCAUCUAUAGACGAUGAAGAUUCAAAGUCAUGUAUUAUUCCAACAACUUUGUCAUCUCUACCUCUAACUCUACCCACUGAAAAAAUUAGUUAAAAUUAAACGAAUUAAGUAUAUACUAAUAUAAUAAAAAAUUAAAACAAAAAAAUUAAUUUAAAAAAUCAAAUAACUACUGGAAAACUUGUGGAUGAAGUCUUCCGGUAGAUUCCGGAAAUGUCGUGGUAGUGUAUUAUUUUUCGGAAAACUUGAAAUAAGUUUCUCGAUAAUUCCAAAGAACUUCAAAGAUGAUUUUCGGAAAUGAUACUCUGUACCGAAAAACUUUUUUCAAAUUUUCAGAAGUUGAAAUUGUAAAUUUGAAAGAAAAAAAAUUCGAAAAAGUUCCGGAAAUGUUGAAAUGAAAAAAAUGAUCACUUUUAAUAUAUAUGAGAGUAUUUUGGUAUUUUCUUUUACAUUUUGGAAGUACAUAAAGAAAAGAAGAGGUACACGAUAAAAUUUUCAAAAUUCAGACUGAAAUUAUUAGACUCAAACCAUGUGUGUUAGCGGCUGAUCCAUUUGAACUAACUAAUUUUAACAACUCUACUAAUAUAACUAAUUUGACCAACUUAAUAUAUAAUAUAUAAAAACAUAUGUAAAAAAGAAAAAAUCACAUUUAUUAAUUAAAAAAUUAAAAGUAGUAAUACACUCUUUUUAUAAAAAAAUAUCAUAGAAAUUGUCUUCUUUUAUGUAAAAAAAAUAAAAUAGUAACCAAAGCUUUUCUAAUAUUUAAUUACAUAAUUUAUUGUGCAAUGGAGAAUCUGCAACGUGUCUGAAUAGGAGAAAAGACAUACACAUGAUAUUUUUUUGGAAGUUGCUGAUUUUGAUUGGUAAAAAACAAAUAGAAACAAACGGACGUCGUGUGUGACAAGUAUUUAAUGAAUGAAAAUAAAUUCAUUUUCAUCUUAUUUUUAUAUAAAUAAACCUGAAAUUUCCGGCACACACCGCGAUCCUACCAAAUAAAUCAGGUUUUCAUUUUAUUCUCCGUUAAAGUCUGUUAAAGAAUUGUGGUUUAUAAUAUAAAAAAAGUGGGUUAUGAUUAUUUUAUGAUCUAAAAUUAUAUUAUAAAUUAUUUUUUUUAAUUUAUUUAAAUAAAUAAUUUUUAUAUAAAUUAAUUUUAUUUUUAUAUGUUUUUAUAGUUUCGUUGUUUGAGGGAAACAUUUUUUUUUAUUUUCUUGUAAUAUAAUAUUUGUUUUAGUUUAGAUUGAUUAAAUAACUUUAAUUUUUUUCAAAUUUCAAUUAAUAAUUUCGACAUUGUUAAUAUACAUAUUUAAAUAUAUAUAUAUAUAUAUUUAAAUAUAUAUAUAUAUAUAUAUAUAUAUAUAUAUUUCAAAUACUUUAAUUUUAUCAUAUUUAUAGUAAUAGUGUUAUUUUGUUAUAUUAAUUAAAGUUUUGUGAUUUUUUUUUAUAAUAAAUUUGAAUUUAAAUUCAUAUUACUUUGAUAUACUUUAUAAUUUAAAUAAACUAAUAUAGAUUCUUUUGAUAAACAAAAUAUCUUCUUAUAUAACCACUUGUAGCCAUUUGUUUUUCCGCCUACUUGUUACUCACUGGACCACACAUAUUGACAAAUUCCUAAUACAUUUAAGUCACGAUCUCUAAUGUCAUGUCUGCCAACUGCAAUUAUUGACACAAAUAAUUGGAUAGUAAACUCCGUAACUUUGAUUCAGAUAUUGAAUUUUGCAUUUUAUAGAUUUUUUAAAUUUUAUUAUUAAUUUUCAAUGAAGUUGUGGGGUUCUUCUAAUUAAUCUUUCAAGAGUGUGUGUUUGAUCUAAAUAUAUUUGAUCUUAUAAAAAUAAUAAUGUCACGUGUUCUUUUCUUUGUAUACUUUAUCAGCAAAAAUAGUUCCCAUAUACAAAUCAAGCCCAAUAAUUUGUGUUCCAUUUGAGGUUGUGUUACUUGAGUUGAUAUUAGGAAUAUAAAAGUUUGAUGGAAAAUCAAUUAGAGAUUAUAUUGGUUUUGAACGAUUGAGUUUUAUGAAUCCAAAUUUAAAGGAUUAUUCUCUUCCAGAGGCACUCUGUUUUUUAGCUAAGGAUUGUGUGAAAGAUGAUCCAUUACAUAGGUCAACUAUCAUGAAAGUCCUUGCAAAAGUGGUUUAGCUAAAAUUAUGUUUGUAAUUAUGAAACUUCAUUGUAACAAAUAUUUAUUCUUGAGAAAUAGCUAGUUUUACAUAAUUUAUUUAUAAAUAUUUGUAUUUUCUUAUUGAAAAUUUAGAUCCUUUAUUGUUGUUGUUUGGUGUAACAAUUGUGAAGACUAUUAAUAAAAAAUAGAAAGUUUUUCAUCACAUAAUAUAAUAGUCAUCUAUGUUACACGAUACAACAUCACAUAAGAGGAUCAAACUAGUUCAUGUGAAAAUGUAUUAUUCACUAUCAUACAAGUUCCUAAUCAUGUUUUGGUCAUCAUGAGUGGAUUCGAACUUCAAAGGUUGACAACGUUUUGGUCUGUUGAGCUGCACUAAGCGGUCGUUUAAUGGUUGCAAUGGUCUUGCAUUACUGUCUGAUUCCUGCCAAGUGAAGGUAGAUGUUUAAAACAUAACACUUGUGCACAAUUAUAUAAAAAAACUAAACAGCUAAGUUUGAUAAAACUAACAUUAUAAUACAUGUAGUAGAAGAAGACAAAUUAGUUUGUAUUUUUUAUCUAUGGAAAUAAUUAUUAGAUACUAUAUUAACACUAGUUAGUUACUAACUAAUUAAUCUUAGUAACUAGUUGACUAAUGUUGUAUUUAAUAAUAAUUAACUUACAUCAUGAACGGCAACUCGAAGCAAUUCGAUUUGCUUCUUCGAAACUGAUUUCACCUGAUUAAUUGAACAGAAUAACAAAUUAAUUCAGAAGAAAGUUAUAGAACAAAAAAAAAAUUAAUUUAGAAGAAGGUAAUAAGAAAAUUUGUAGCAUAAUAGAUAUCAUCAAUUAAACUAAUUAUUUAAAAAUUAAAUUAAAGGGAGCUAGCUAGCAAAUUAAACUAACCUCUCGAAUAAUCGUCCAAGUAAUAUUCUGAGAGCAUGCUGGAGUAGUCAAUGAACCAUUGUAUCUGUAAUACUCAUCUCUAUCCAAUUUAACCAACUUAGGAUUGAUGACACCUACCACUCUUUCUUCCCCAGUUUGUCCAGAAAUUGCCCUUAGGUCUUUUCUCAACUAUAAAUUAAAAAUAUGAACAUUAAACAAUAAAAAAUUUAUAUCUUUGGUCAAUCAUGUUCAAUCAUCAUAAAAAUUUAGUUUUUAAAAAUAGAACUUUCUCUUGUGUUUUUUAUAAGAAACUAUUUAGAAAAAAGUUGGUCAACAAAAAAUUUAAUGUAUCUAGCUGAUAAUAUGAACUAAAUACAUCAGUUUUUAUUAAUCAAAUUUUAACACAACUAUCUUUUAUAAAAAUGACUAAACUAAAAAAUAAUAUGUGAUUUGAUUAACAUCUAAAACUUUUUCACACUAACAAUAAAUCCAAAUUAUUCUAUUAAUUCAAUUAACUCACUCAUUAUAAAAAAAAGUAUAUGGCAUAAGAAAUUUUAUUUAAUUAACUAAUUUACCAAUGACAAUAAAGUAUCUGGUUUUCCAAUUCUGUACAAUACUCCGAUCACCGCUAUUUGUCCGGAUGGAGUUUGAUGUACCAUGUGUAACUCUAGAUCUAAUCUGCAACACAAUUAAUUAUUGGAUAAUUAAUUUAACUAUACCAAAUUAUAUGAGUCAUAUAUUUUAAUUAAUGUAAAAGCAAUAGUAAAUCUCCCUUAUUGUUAAUUAGAGUUUCUCCUUAAAUAAAAUAAUAUUUUUUUUAUGGAAAUAAGAGUAUUGUUAUGGGAACAUGCUUUUUAACAUCAAACACAAAGACAUCAAUUGUGUGUGUCCGGAUUUCAAAGUGGAAUAAAAAGUUAUUAAAAAAAAAAACAUAAACAGUAUGACAUCCGGUGUUUGAUGUCAAACUUUGAUGUUUGAGAAUCAUUUAUCUGAAACUAAAUAUGUAUUUUUAAGGAUGAAAUAUUAUGAUUUUGUUAGAUGAGAAAUUAAAUAUGUAAGAAAUAAGAAAGUAUGUACCUUCUGCCAUUUAUGGUGUGUUCUGAGGGAGAAUGCCAAUGAAAUUGUUUAAGUGCAUACUGAAUUCCAUCGAUUAGUAGAUAGUUUGAGUUUUCAGUGAAUUCCAACUAUUCAUAAUUCAAAGAAAUUAAUUAGGGGUACACAGAGAAAAAGAAAACAUAACUUUUUUUUGAAUAAUGAUUCAUUUGUACAAUUAGAUUUUUAUUAACUGACCUUGAUAUCAUGACCCCUGUUUUUAAGAAUUGCAUUGGAGGGCUUGGACCUAAUCUGAAGUGGUCCUAAAUAUGAUACAAUUUCAACUAAUUUAUUUAUCAAAUCAAUUGGUGAUUGCCUUUCUCCAUAUUUGCACAAACUCCAUUCAGGUUUAAUGUCUCCCCAAUGUUGUGGUCCUAUCUCACUAUCUUCGUCAUAACUAAACUCAUUCUGGUUUUCUGCAAGUGUCAUCAAAACAAAAAUUAAUUCACAAAUAUAUUAAAAAAAUUAUUAGUGGUAAUAAGUAAAAUCUAAUUAAAAAUUUGUUUAACUAAAAUCGAAUUUGAAUACUUUUCAAGUGAUUCAACUUUAAUUUUAAAUUUAUUAACUACUUAAUUAAAUUAUACUUCCUAUAGUCUUUUAGCAAAAGUAUAGUUAAAAAAAUUAAUGUAUCUGAUCUAAAUUUUGAAUCAGAUACAUUUAUUUUCUUUAAUAUUAUUUUUGUUUAUAUUUAAAAUUAGAAUAGUAUUAGUUAGUAGGACCGUGUAUUUUAUUAAGAUUUAAGAAAAUACUAAAUUUUUUUUGGAGAAGUAGGUCCUCACAUGAAUAAUUUUGAAUUAAUUAAUAAAAAUAUGGUAUCUUAUACAAAUUAAGAAGAAAAAGGCAAGUAAGCUAAAAGGGAUUGAUUGUUACCAAGUUCUUGAGAUAUUGCUGGGCAUGAUGAUAGCAAAACAAGCGCAGUUAACAAACUGAAAAUUGAAACUAGUUUAGCAAGCUUUGCCAUUUUAAUUUGCAUCUAUGUUGUCUUUGGAGUUAUUUAUAUUUAUAGACAACCUAUGGUUCACCGAAAACAAAGACAGCUAGCUACGAGGGUACGAAAAUUAAUUAAAUAAGAAAUUGAGAUUUUUUUACUUUAAAACUAUUUAAAUUUUACGCCAUAGAAAAAACGUGUUUACUAUUAUUCUCAUUUUGUAUAGAAAAAUAUUUGAUAAAUACUUAUCCAUAUAAUUAAUAUAUUGAAAGAGAAAAAAUAAAAAGAUAAAUAUAGUAAAAUCAACAAAUGAGUCUACCAAUCUAAAUCUAAGCAACAAACUAUGACCAUUUCCGUUGUUAUCAUAAACUAGAUAUUUUUCUAGAGUACCCUUAAUUUAUUUAAAGAUCGCUAUCUCAAUAAUACUGAAUAAGGAGAAUUUAAAAAUUUAACUUACUAGUUACAAACAUGACUCUAAAAUGAAGUGUCUUAACAAAUUAAUGUUAGCUAGUUUAAUUUACAAAAAUAGUCUUUUAUAACUUUCUAAAUUAGAUAAUAGCUCCCCGAGGUACGAGUAUAACAUUUGCAUCUAAAAACUUGUGAGUUAUGAGUCUAUUACGCUUCCCUUUCGAAAUUUAUUUAAAGUUUAGUUCUACAUUUAAGUUAUUGAUAAAGAAAAUGAAGAAAGUAAAUUAAAUAAUAUUAAUAAUUAAGAUAAUAUUAUUUAUAUCAUGAGUUACAAAGAUUUAUAUAGUCAAUUGAAUAAAACAAUUAACUAGUGUAAACUAAUUUACUAGAUAGUGUAACUAACAAACCAAUUUAAUUAACUAACUAACUAAGAUAUCUUAUAUCCUCCUUCAAGCUAAAAUGUGUUUAAUACAUUUCAAGUUUAGAAAAUCUCAGGAAAAAAAAAGUAAGAAAACACAAAGGCUAAAAGAAAUUGAAUGUCAACAAUAAUUAAACUAAAUGAGUUUUGAAUGUCGUAAAUACAACCACAAAUUUUGUGAAAGAUUUAUUCUUUCUUUGAAACAAGAACAAGAAAGAAUGUUUCUUCGUUUUUUUUGUAGUACGUGUUUGAGUCUAUAGUUCUAUGCAAA
rnacentral:lncRNA from 1 species